AAGAUAACCAGGGUCCGGUGGUUUUCCCUGGGCGAGGCUCAUCCAUUGUACCCCAGAUGUGCUGACCCCAGCCAGUUCCCCAGAUGUGGAGAACUCGGUUGCAGAAUUUGUGGUGGUGGGGGACUGUGUUGGUGCUUUCCCCUG
rnacentral:snRNA from 1 species